AUGAUUGUACGGGGAGAGAACGUCUGGAGACGUCGCCGAAGGAGCAAAUAACAAAAGUUAUGAAUCUCUCAGGCAAAAAGACUCGUACGGGACG
rnacentral:ncRNA from 2 species